ACCCUAGUAGUCCACGCCGUAAACGAUGAAUGCUAGGUGUAUGAGGUAUUCACCCCUUAUGUGCCGCAGUUAACGCAUUAAGCAUUCCGCCUGGGGAGUACGGUCGCAAGAUUAAAACUCAAAGGAAUUGACGGGGGCCCGCACAAGCGGUGGAGUAUGUGGUUUAAUUCGACGCAACGCGCAGAACCUUACCCAGCCUUGACAUCUUAGGAAUACCUUCGAAAGUUGGUAGUGCCUCCUCACGGAGGAACCUAAUGACAGGUGCUGCAUGGCUGUCGUCAGCUCGUGUCG
rnacentral:rRNA from 1 species